CCUUGAUACUGUAAUGUAAUAUAAUAGGUUAAAUAUAGCAAGACGAGUCAAGGACAAAAUAUUGGAUAGGCGGCUUCUGGGUCAAGGACAAGGGGCGCACCCUUGUAGAGGGCCAACGAGCCCUUUAUGGAAUAUUUGCGGUCCAAAUUGGUUCUAAUCUAAACCAAUAUAUCAUCUACGAGUGACUUCCUUUGUGCCAAAUAUAUUUUUUCGUACAAUAUAUAUGAUUUUAUUCAUUAAAUGCACAUGAAUUUUUUUGGCUUGACGAAAAGAAACCAUGUAAUGGGGUUCUCAAAAACAUACUCGAAACCAAUACUCUACAAUUAUUAUUCGAUU
rnacentral:lncRNA from 1 species